rnacentral:rRNA from 1 species
AACGAACGCUGGCGGCAGGCCUAACACAUGCAAGUCGAACGCCGUAGCAAUACGGAGUGGCAGACGGGUGAGUAACACGUGGGAACGUACCUUUCGGUUCGGAAUAACUCAGGGAAACUUGAGCUAAUACCGGAUACGUGCGAGAGCAGAAAGAUUUAUCGCCGAAAGAUCGGCCCGCGUCCGAUUAGCUAGUUGGUGAGGUAAUGGCUCACCAAGGCGACGAUCGGUAGCUGGUCUGAGAGGAUGAUCAGCCACACUGGGACUGAGACACGGCCCAGACUCCUACGGGAGGCAGCAGUGGGGAAUAUUGGACAAUGGGCGCAAGCCUGAUCCAGCCAUGCCGCGUGAGUGAUGAAGGCCCUAGGGUUGUAAACUGCUUUUGUACGGAACGAAAAGGUCCUGGUUAAUACCUGGGGCUCAUGACGGUACCGUAAGAAUAAGCACCGGCUAACUACGUGCCAGCAGCCGCGGUAAU